AUUGAAACAUUCGCUCCCGUACGAUAACCGAACUUAAGCAAUGUCAGGCCUGGUCAGUAACUAGAUGGGUGACCUCUUGGGAAUACCAGGUCCUGUCA